rnacentral:rRNA from 1 species
ACCCGAAGUCGGUGAGGUAACCUUUUUGGAGCCAGCCGCCGAAGGUGGGGCCAAUGAUUGGGGUGAAGUCGUAACAAGGUAGCCGUAUCGGAAGGUGCGGCUGGAUCACCUCCUUUCUAAGGA